GCAACUUGGGAGGAAUGUAAGGGGAAACCGGUAAAAAGGAAAUGUACUCUGUAGUAUUAGAAAAUAAUAUGAUAUUAACUAAGUUAAUUAAAAUUCAAAGUAGAUAUGUGAUUAUGACAGUAUUUGCUUAUUUCUUGACAAAGUCACGUGCCAGCAGUCGCGGUAAUACGUGGUAGAUUAGUGUUAUUCAUCUUUAUUAGGUUUAAAGGGUACCUAGACGGUUAAUUAAGCAUACAAGUGUACUAAUUUAACUAGAGUUUAAUGUAAGAAGGAUUGAGUACGGUGAGAGUAGAGAUAAAAUUCUGUGAUACCACUUAGGAACUGGUAAAGGCGAAGGCAACCUUUUAUGUAAAAACUGACGUUAAGGGACGAAGGCUCGUAUUAAGUAACAGGAUUAGAGACCCUAGUAUUGUGGGCAGACAAUGAUGAGUGUCAUAUGCAAGAAAUAUUUUUGUGUAUAAAUGAAAGUGUAAGCACUCCACCUCAAGAGUAACGUGGCAACAUGGGAACUGAAAUCAUUAGACCGUUUCUGAAACUCGUAGUGAAGUAUGUUGUUUAAUUUGAUGAUCCACAAAUAACCUUACCACAAUUUGUAUGACUAAAGAGGUAUAACAAGAGUAAAUUUUGUCCGUUAGUUACAAGCGUUGCACGGCUGUCUUCAGUUAAUGUUGUGAAACUUUGGUUAGAUCCAUUAAAUUGACGUAAACCCUUGCUUUUUUUAUUAUAAAGCAGUUCGCCGCUAUAUUGGUAGUGAUAUAAGGGACUAAGACAAGUCAUCAUGACCUGAACAUUGUGGGCUAUA
rnacentral:rRNA from 1 species